UUAAGUGACGAAGCGUAUACGGUGGAUGCCUUGGCAGUUAGAGGCGAUGAAGGACGUGUAAGUCUGCGAAAAGCUGUGGUGAGCCGACAAAAUGCAUUUGAGCCACAGAUGUCCGAAUGGGGAAACCCACCUAUUUAUAGGUAUCGUUAACUGAAUACAUAGGUUAACGAGGCAAACGAGGGGAACUGAAACAUCUAAGUACCCUUAGGAAAAGAAAUCAACCGAGAUUCCCCUAGUAGCGGCGAGCGAACGGGGAGCAGCCCUUAAGCUGUUUAGAAUUUAGUGGAAUCCUUUGGGAAGAGGAGCGAUACAAGGUGAUAGCCCUGUACACGACGGAUUCUUUACAGUGAAAUCGAGUAGGUCGGGACACGUGUUAUCUUGACUGAAUAUGGGGGGACCAUCCUCCAAGGCUAAAUACUCCUAACUGACCGAUAGUGAACCAGUACCGUGAGGGAAAGGCGAAAAGAACCCCUGUGAGGGGAGUGAAAUAGAACCUGAAACCGUAUACGUACAAGCAGUGGGAGCCCUUCGGGGUGACUGCGUACCUUUUGUAUAAUGGGUCAGCGACUUAUAUUUAGUAGCAAGGUUAAGUGAAUAACGGAGCCGUAGCGAAAGCGAGUGUUAACUGCGCGUUUAGUUGCUAGGUAUAGACCCGAAACCCGGUGAUCUAGCCAUGGGCAGGUUGAAGGUUGAGUAACAUCAACUGGAGGACCGAACCCACUAACGUUGAAAAGUUAGGGGAUGACCUGUGGCUGGGGGUGAAAGGCCAAUCAAACCGGGAGAUAGCUGGUUCUCCCCGAAAUCUAUUUAGGUAGAGCCUCGGACGAAUUCCAUUGGGGGUAGAGCACUGUUAAGGCUAGGGGGUCAUCCCGACUUACCAACCCUUUGCAAACUCCGAAUACCAAUGAGAACUAUCCGGGAGACACACGGCGGGUGCUAACGUCCGUCGUGGAGAGGGAAACAACCCAGACCGCCAGCUAAGGUCCCAAAAUAUUGCUAAGUGGGAAACGAUGUGGGAAGGCAUAGACAGCUAGGAGGUUGGCUUAGAAGCAGCCACCCUUUAAAGAAAGCGUAAUAGCUCACUAGUCGAGUCGGCCUGCGCGGAAGAUGUAACGGGGCUAAGCAAUAUACCGAAGCUGCGGCAGCAUGUUUACAUGCUGGGUAGGGGAGCGUUGUGUAAGUGGAUGAAGGUGAGUUGUAAAGCUUGCUGGACAUAUCACAAGUGCGAAUGCUGACAUGAGUAACGAUAAUGGGAGUGAAAAACUCCCACGCCGGAAGACCAAGGUUUCCUGUCCCAUGCUAAUCAGGGCAGGGUAAGUCGGCCCCUAAGGCGAGGCAGAAAUGCGUAGUCGAUGGGAAACGGGUUAAUAUUCCCGUACUUAUAUAAUCAGUGAUGGAGGGACGGAGAAGGCUAGGCAAGCUUGGCGUUGGUUGUCCAAGUGAAAGUGAGUAGGCUGAAGACUUAGGUAAAUCCGGGUUUUCAAGGCCGAGACACGAGACGAGCUCCCAAGGGAGUGAAGUUGUUGAUGCCCUGCUUCCAGGAAAAGCUUCUAAACUUAUGAUUAUAUGAACCGUACCCCAAACCGACACAGGUGGUCAGGUAGAGAAUACUAAGGCGCUUGAGAGAACUCGGGUGAAGGAACUCGGCAAAAUUGUACCGUAACUUCGGGAGAAGGUACGCCUCUGUUUGUGAACACUUCGCGUGGUAAGCAAAUGGAGGCCGCAGUGACCAGGUGGCUGGGACUGUUUAUUAAAAACACAGCACUCUGCAAACUCGUAAGAGGACGUAUAGGGUGUGACACCUGCCCGGUGCCGGAAGGUUAAUUGAUGGGGUUAGUUUUCGGACGAAGCUCUUGAUCGAAGCCCCGGUAAACGGCGGCCGUAACUAUAACGGUCCUAAGGUAGCGAAAUUCCUUGUCGGGUAAGUUCCGACCUG
rnacentral:rRNA from 1 species